UCCCUGGUGGCCUAAUGGUUAAAGAUUCUGCAUUGUCACUGCUGUGGCUCAGGUUCAAUCCCUGGUCCAGGAA
rfam:Sus scrofa isolate TJ Tabasco breed Duroc chromosome 13, whole genome shotgun sequence.